GCAGUUCUUUGUCGUAUAUAUAUAUAUAGAGAGAGAGAGAGAGAGAGAGAGAGAGAGAGAGAGAGAGAGGUGUUAAAAAUAAGGGUUUGAGUUCGAUUGAGAAAAUUCUGAAACAAUGGCUGGUGGAAUCGCAUCGAGAUCGGGAGGCAUCUUGAAGUUUCUUAACCCUAAACCUCGGCUCCAGCCUACCGAUAUCCAGUCUGCCGCCUUGUGGGGUGUUGCCGGCGUCACCUCUGCUCUUUGGCUUGUCCAGCCGUUCAACUGGUUGAAGAAGACAUUUCUGGAGAAACCUGAGGCUGAAGGGCAGUGAUUUUGGUGCAGAAUCUUACUGGAACUUUGUAUGGUAAUUCUUCUGAGUUAGGCGAGUGAACGGGGUAGAUUCCGUAUGAAUAAUGUUUUAGUUUCUGUUGCUUGUUUGUAGCUUUCUCUGGGGGGCUGCAGCACGGUAACUUGUUUAUGACGAUUUUCUUUCACAUAAUUUGAUGAAGUUCUGUUGACAGACAUGUAUGAGCUGGGCCAUUAUCUUUCACAUCUCAAUGCUUUGGUGGUCUUUAUUAUU